rnacentral:rRNA from 1 species
GAGAUUCCCCCAGUAGCGGCGAGCGAACGGGGAGGAGCCCAGAGCCUGAAUCAGCAUGUGUGUUAGUGGAAGCGUCUGGAAAGGCGCGCGAUACAGGGUGACAGCCCCGUACACAAAAGCGCAUGUGCUGUGAGCUCGAUGAGUAGGGCGGGACACGUGGUAUCCUGUCUGAAUAUGGGGGGACCAUCCUCCAAGGCUAAAUACUCCUGACUGACCGAUAGUGAACCAGUACCGUGAGGGAAAGGCGAAAAGAACCCCGGCGAGGGGAGUGAAAAAGAACCUGAAACCGUGUACGUACAAGCAGUGGGAGCACAGGUUUACCUGUGUGACUGCGUACCUUUUGUAUAAUGGGUCAGCGACUUAUAUUCUGUAGCAAGGUUAACCGAAUAGGGGAGCCGGAGGGAAACCGAGUCUUAAUUGGGCGUUAAGUUGCAGGGUAUAGACCCGAAACCCGGUGAUCUAGCCAUGGGCAGGUUGAAGGUUGGGUAACACUAACUGGAGGACCGAACCGACUAAUGUUGAAAAAUUAGCGGAUGACCUGUGGCUGGGGGUGAAAGGCCAAUCAAACCGGGAGAUAGCUGGUUCUCCCCGAAAGCUAUUUAGGUAGCGCCUCGUGAAUUCAUCUCCGGGGGUAGAGCACUGUUUCGGCUAGGGGGCCAUCCCGGCUUACCAACCCGAUGCAAACUGCGAAUACCGGAGAAUGUUAUCACGGGAGACACACGGCGGGUGCUAACGUCCGUCGUGAAGAGGGAAACAACCCAGACCGCCAGCUAAGGUCCCAAAGUCAUGGUUAAGUGGGAAACGAUGUGGGAAGGCCCAGACAGCCAGGAUGUUGGCUUAGAAGCAGCCAUCAUUUAAAGAAAGCGUAAUAGCUCACUGGUCGAGUCGGCCUGCGCGGAAGAUGUAACGGGGCUAAACCAUGCACCGAAGCUGCGGCAGCGACGCUUAUGCGU